CCUACGGGAGGCAGCAGUAGGGAAUCUUCCACAAUGGACGCAAGUCUGAUGGAGCAACGCCGCGUGAGUGAAGAAGGGUUUCGGCUCGUAAAGCUCUGUUGUUAAAGAAGAACGUGGGUAAGAGUAACUGUUUACCCAGUGACGGUAUUUAACCAGAAAGCCACGGCUAACUACGUGCCAGCAGCCGCGGUAAU
rnacentral:rRNA from 2 species